GUAACCACGACAAUCUUACACUUCUUGCAUAUUAUUAUAUAUAUUAUAUAAUAUAUUUAAUAAUACAGGUGUUGCAUGGCUGUCUUUAGUUCGUGUUGUGAAAUGUGAGGUUAAUUCCGUUAACGAACGCAAUCCUUUUCUUUAGUUUUGUUAUUAUUAUUAUUUUUAAUUAAUUAGACUUAAAGAAGUAUCUUUCGAUAGGAAGGAAUAAUUAGGAUUAAGACAAGUCUUCAUGACCCUUAUGAAGUGGGCUACAGACGUGCCACAAAAAUUUCUACAAUAGGAUGCAAAGAUGUAUGUAAGUCAGAGCUAAACCAUGAAAGGAAAUUAAAGUACGGAUAAGAAUCUGAAACUCGAUUCUGNAAAGAAAUUCCCAAAACNAGNNUCNUUGNNGNANUUCCCAAAA
rnacentral:rRNA from 1 species